rnacentral:tRNA from 1 species
GGCUUGGAAGCUUAAUUGGAAAAGCACUUGUCUAGUGAAUAAGGGUCGUGAGUUCAAACCUUACCUGAGCUG